UGUACGUUUACAAUGUACAAUGGCUUACAGUGCAAGUGAUCGUGAGGCAACAGCUAGGCAACCAGCUCCAAGCAGAAGAGUAACAGUCACUGUUCUGCCACCAGGGUUUAUGAGUACGAGUGGAUGUAUGCAAACAGGAAGUACAACUUCUGACACGACUCGUACUCCUGCUCCGACACCACUAACACAAUCUCAAAUUUUGUACCGAGUAAAGAUCAUCAACCCGGCAAAAAAAACAGACAUGGUUGUUAGAGACAUGAGGACUUUUCAUAGCCAUUUCUCAUCUAUGACAGAUAUGAAGGUCAGGUUAAUGGAAGAAUUCAAGAGUCAAGUACCAGCAACAACAUCAUUUUCAAUGGGUUACUUUGCUAGCCGCCCAUCUGCUAAAUAUUGGAUUUACACAGAAGAAGAUUUAGCUUCGAUGUAUAGCAAGUCUAUCACUCAAGAAAUUAUGUUGUGGUGUGAUGGCCGAAAUGUUACUGAUAGUGAAACUCCAAAUCCUAAGCGGCGAAAGAGGCGAAAGACUGGAGAAGGGUGUUUGUCAAGAAGAGAGGAAAAGGAGCUUGAGGUAGAAGAGUUAACAAAAGAAUUGAAGGAACUGAAUAAAGAAAAAUUAAAUUUAAGCGAAGUGCAGUACCGUCUGUGGGCUCGCAUGAUUACAACAGGGAUCCAUUCAAGUAAAGAUACACCUCCACAAGUCCCUAUGAUUACUGGUAUUACUCCAAAAAGGAAACAAAGAAAGGAUGACUUGACAAUGUCAGAUACUAUUGCGAGCACUGCGGCAGCCGUUGUUAAGGCAAUAAAUUGUGUUUCUCCAGUCACCCAAUCAGCUACUAUUCAACAGACUAUUUUAGAUUCAUGUACACCUACCAGACGUUCAAACGAUUUAUCACAAUUGGGAAUUUCCCCUGGUAAAGCCUCUGAAAUACGUGGAAAAUCCUUUGGACAGCUAUGCACUCUCAAACAGUUGUAUGAUGACUGUGUCUUAACAUAAGAUGAGUUUGAAGAGCAAAAGCGAGAUAUUUUAUUCGGACUGAAAAGGCUUCAGUGACAUGAAUAUAAUGUACUUGCAACUUAGUAUGUUGUAUAAUUAUGUUAUUUAUGCCGUUUUGUUAUUUGUACAUAAUAAUUAGUGUUUGUAUUCUAGUAUAUUCCUAUACUUGAAAUCCAGGCUUGACAAUCUGCUACUGUUAUUGUUGAAAAUGCAUAUAAUACAAUAGUUUCAAUAUCAUCGAUUGCUUGCAUUUCUGUUUCCAAUGAUCUCAUCAUAUACUUGACUUUCGAAAAAGCUAGUUCUAUGGGAUUAAAAUCCGGUGAGUACGGAGGCAGGUAAUGACUGACCGAUCCAGCAUCACUGAUAACUUGCUCAACUUCAGGCACAUGGUGGAUGGAACAGUUAUCCAUGAUGACAAUACUAUUUUCGUUAGUACCGUUGAAUGGCAAAAGAUGAGGAAAAAGGGAAGUGCACACAAAAUCAUAGAAAUGAUCACCAUUUACACCACCUUGUACAAUUUUCAAUCCUAUAAUUCCAUUAAUCGACAUCGCCGCAAUGGCAGAAAUAUGUUCUCCUCUCACAAACAAUUUCUGGGCUUUCAAUGGUUUGCCUCUCAAGCUGUAGCCAUACGUGCGUAUAGAAUCCCUUGCGUCGGUGCCUGUUUCGUCAAUAAACACAAGAGAACUCUUUUCAUACAAAGAAACAUCAGUUACAAAUUCAUUUCGGAGUAAAUCGUCUCUCUGUAAGGCAAAUGUAACCAGCUUCUGCCUUGUAAAUCCGCUUUUUUUCAGCAUCUUACACACAGCGCUUUCACUCACAUCUAGCCCAAGUGUUGACUUUACUUCACUUGUGAUUUCUCGGAGGAACAUCCCCGGCCUUUGGAGUAUGAGAUGGAUGAUGAAGAGCUGCACUGGUUCUGUGAUUACCCGAAAUGCUCUCUGAACUGGGUAUUCUUUUUUGGCAACAUCUCCAGUAGUUCUAAAGAUGUGCAUCACUCUCCAAACAGUUGACACAUCAAUGUUGAGAUUAUGAGCUAUCACUGAUGGUUUAUAAAGAAGAGCCUCACUUUGCCAUAUGAUCCUCCAACGUAGAUCUUCACUGUAAGCACUAGAUCUCUUUGAUUCACAAGAAGUAUUAGUAGCCAUUGCUCAAAUUCAAACAGAUCUACUGCGCAUGCGCGUGAACAGAAUAAACCUAUUGUGGGCUCAUUUUGCAAGAUCUUGGAAAAAUACAAUAAUACACAGUACUUCAAGUUAGGGACAUUAGGGACAUUAAUGUCCCUAAAAUGUCCCAAACCUAGGGUUAACGUUUUUGGACUCUCUCCUUUUAGUAUGUCGUUCUUAACACAUAUAUGUACACAUUACUGCAAUAUGGGGACAGUUGGGAAUUUAUUAAGGGAGUUAGGGGAAAAAUUUUAGUAUAGGUAAAGGGUCAUCAUUUGAAGAGUUGUCUCUAGAACUGCUUGUUGUAGAGGUCUGUGGGCACUGAAAACUGGUCUGUGUGUACUGAGUGGAAGCUGUUGGAAGCUGUUGUCUGAGUUGCUGUCAAGAGUCAAGAGUGGUGCUGUUGUAACUGGUGGGUCUGUGUGGAAGCUGUUGUCUGAGUGGAAGCUGUUGCUGUCAGCUGAGUUGCUGGUGCUAGAGUUGCUGUCAUGUGUGAGUGUGUGUGAUGUGUUGAGUGUGUGUGAUGUGUGAGUGAUGUGCGAGUGUGUGGAUGUGUGGUGUGGUUGUAAACAUAAUGUUUUGGCUCAUAGCUAUUGAGGAGUAUCAGAGGGAGGUGCGGAGGUUGAGAGCGUACAACACUCGCCUCCAGCGUCAUAUAAGAGCAUUUGUGGGUUAAGGGGAAGACCAUCUGUGGCUUUUAUCCAAAGCCUUAAUUCACAAAGCCUUAAUUCACAUUUAAGUGCUCCUGUCAAGGUUCCUCCACACUUGACUGAUCCUCCUCCUGUCAAGGUUCCGGCUAAACCUGAGGUCAACGCUCCUGACAUAAGUCCACACUUGACUGAGAAAAAGGUUCCUCUGAACCCUGACAUAAGUCCUAAACCUGAGGUCAACGCUCCUGACAUAAGUCCACACUUAACUGACCCUCCGGCUAAACCUGAGGUCAACGCUGUCCCUCCUGUCAAGGUAAGUCCAGUAAGUCCACACUUGACUGAGAAAACUCCUCCGGCUAAACCUGAGGUCAAUGACUCCGUACCUCCUGUCAAGGUUCCACACUUAGCGAAACCUGAGACUGUCGAGGUCAAUGUAGAGAAACCUCCUCCUGGUCCGCGAGUCCGAAAGUCCGAAAGUCAGCAGUGUGUUUACUGAUUCUAGUGAUGAUUCAUCUGAUUUUGACAACCAGUAUGACAUGGAGGUGGACGAACCUGGGCCGAUUCUCAUACAGAGUGACAACAGUAAACAGGAACAAUCCUCUCAGACACCACUGACUGAAUCCGAUGAAGACAUAGCAUCACAGAUGGAAACUGAAUCUCCUACGCUGGCUGACACCUCCCAGACAUCACAGACACUGGCUGACACCCAAGAGACGGUCUCCUCUCAGACGCUGGCUGACACCUCCCAGACAUCACCGACACUGGCUGACACCCAAGAGACGACGCUGGCUGACACCUCGCUACUGAGUCAGAGUGGAGAGGCAUCACAGACUACCACCCAGACCUUGGAAGAGACCUUGGAAGAGACGGUACCCAGGGGUAGAAAGAGGUUUAUGCCAGACGAGCCCCCUAAGCGCUACAAGAAGGUGUGCCCUAUGCCAGGUUGCUACUCGAAACAACAGAUUAAACUAUCAAAUCACCUCAUCGCAAUGCACCCAGAACUCUCUGUUGAGGAGAGGAAGGAGCAACUCAAACUUGCCCUGAGGUAUGUGCCUGAUGGGCGAUCGGGGGUCCGGCAAUCAGGGCACUACUCGCUCGAUUCUUACUUCCACCCCCCAGAAGAAGAAGAAGUAGAGGAGGUGCUAACUUCAACCCUUCCUCUACCUACCUGUAAAAAUUUGGGUCUCUACAAAGCUUUAAAUAGGUCAAGCGUGGACGUUGAAGAAACUCACCGAACGUUCAUUUUUUACAAUGAAAUUUACUGUCUACGUGAGGGGAAUUUCCCUAUUAUUGUUAAUUAUUUUUAACAAAUAAAAGAUGACAACUUGUACAGGACUAUUUCAUCAGCCCAGUACUUACAAUCAUCAAGAGGAGCCAGGUAUAUUAUAGCUCCACUUCUUAACAAACAUAAUUUAGCAACAGAAAUAGAUUAGAAAGAGCAGCUAUCUAGCUAGCUAGCUUGGCGCGCGUAGAUCCACUCUUGUUUCUUUGGAUGUACGUAUCCCGUGCCACUUGUCCUCAUAAACACUCCAUAACAACCUACAGAUAAGUAGUAAGUUAAGAUAGACACAAUAUCAAUGUCACUUACAUUCUAGCCAAUAGACUAGCGUUUCUCAGGCCUCCGACACUUACCACCACCUGGGGGAAACCAUCAAUAUAAAUGUUAUACGACAAUUCCACGCAGUUUCCUGGGCCCUCCAUGAUGUGAUCACCCAUCCCAUCAGGCCUGUUACUACUAAGCACAAUGGCAGUGAUACCAGUACUAAAUUAAAGGAGGAAAGCUCCUUAUAAGGCUACUAAUAAGUUGGAUCAAGCCUUAGAUCGAUAUGGACGAAUACUAAGUGAAAGACUACCUAUAAUAGAUCACUUAGGCUUCCUUUAAGCUGUAUGAAGGACAGAGACACUUUCUGUAGGCUCCAUACAAGUGAGGGAUCUUUUAUAAGACUGAUACAUUACACAGAUAUAAGUACAAGCUUAUAACAAGACAUGAGAGCUUACCAUUUGAGCGACGGGAGUCUUUGUCUCUUUAUUUCUUCGAAGAUCCUUCCUAGGUGCCAAGCAAUCCAGCUACAUAGCUAUACUAGCUAGCUAGAGAGUCCUAGAACGCCUAGCCUUCAUCUAACUAACUUGUCUUCUCCAGAACAUCUUUUACUAAGCUUUAUGAGUAUACGGAGGAUCAGUAACGGUGUUCGCCUCCAACUUUUAAUUGCUUCCGGAAGCAGGGGCGUAGCUUCAUUGCAUACUGUAGCUAAGUGACCUUUGACCUGCCCUUAUUUGUAGAAAAAAAUUAAUGAUACUGGCUGAAGAAAACAGAUGAUACUGGAUGGAUAAACUGAUCCAAAACUGGGAUGAUACUGAUAAUAAGAAAAGUGAUGUUUCUGGAUGUGAAAACAAGGGAAAGUGAUAUGAUACUGAUGUUCCUGGAUGGAUGAAAACAAUGAAGAGUUAAUUAAUCGAGUGAAUAAUACAAUCAUGAUUGAUGGAUGGACAGACAGAUAGAUGAUUUUGGCUUAGACUGGAUACUGCAUGUGUGGCAAUGUCAGCCAUUACUUGGGUAAAGGCAGCUUGUUUUGAUUGAGGGGUUGACAGUCGCUCUCUCCACAUGAACUCGUCAAGGUAUGAUGGCAACUGUUGUUCUGUCACCCCCCACAUCCUCUUCAGCUUGAUCUUAAUUCUAUUCCAAUAGCUCUCAAUGUUUUGUGUGUGUACCCCUGUGACGCUGUUCACAAACUCAAUACUGUGGUUGACGGUGCCAUGGGAUCCAACAUUUGGCAACGAUGCUACAUUAUUGUAAGCGGCCCAACAGUCGGAAUGUAUCACUGUGCCUGGUUGAACAUGUGCCUGUAUUAUAGGCAAGAGUGUGACUGCUCUUCUAUCUGCCACUAACUGGACAAAGCCAGUGGCAGGGGUUGUUGACAUGUCAGCCAACCCAAACACCCACAAGUCACUCCUGGGUCGCCUACCCCGUCCACCCUAUUGUGUUUAAGUGUUUACAAUAUUAUUGUGAGCACAAUUUUACCUUAGGUUUGUGUCGGAACAGACUUUCAUCGAUCUGAACAAUAACACCAGCUCCUCCAAGACGGAUAACAGUUGCGAUCAGCUUUGCUGAGCAUACCUCUCUGAGCCAUUGGUAUAUAUCACACCCCGUGGAUGGUCUCACCUCAGCCUCCAUUGCCAUGUCUGUCACAGGGUAUUCUCUGGACCACCACAAAAUGGCUACCAACCACUGUUGGAGAGUAAUCCUACUCUUAGAGAAGAAACUGAGGUGUCUGAUGCUCCUGGUGGUCUUACAUUGUGGGAAGGACCAACAGACGCCAUCCGAGCCUGCUGAAGACCUUCGCCAUUCGAUCAUUGGAAUAGCACACCUAUUUUUGUUUAUUAUUUUGAUCACACCUAUUUUUCCUAAUUAUGCUUAUUAUGGAUAUCCCUUAUUAUAAUAUAAGAUACCUACCUUGUACAGUCGCAGGUAGUUGCAAGCAGUCCUUUACCCCUAAGAUAAA